GUGGGGAAUUUUGGACAAUGGGCGCAAGCCUGAUCCAGCAAUGUCGCGUGCAGGAAGAAGGCCUUCGGGUUGUAAACUGCUUUUGUACGGAACGAAAAGGCUCUGGUUAAUACCUGGGGCUCAUGACGGUACCGUAAGAAUAAGCACCGGCUAACUACGUGCCAGCAGCCGCGGUAAUACGUAGGGUGCAAGCGUUAAUCGGAAUUACUGGGCGUAAAGCGUGCGCAGGCGGUUUUGUAAGACAGACGUGAAAUCCCCGGGCUCAACCUGGGAAUGGCGUUUGUGACUGCAAAGCUGGAGUGCGGCAGAGGGGGAUGGAAUUCCGCGUGUAGCAGUGAAAUGCGUAGAUAUGCGGAGGAACACCGAUGGCGAAGGCAAUCCCCUGGGCCUGCACGGACGCUCAUGCACGAAAGCGUGGGGAGCAAACAGGAUUAGAAACCCUGGUAGUCC
rnacentral:rRNA from 1 species